UACAUCAGUGUUUAUAGCUGGAUUUCAGUAUAAUUUUCGACAGAUAACAGCUAGUUUUUCAGCUGGAAGAUGUUAACAGUUAGUGGUUACCGAUAUGCCGCUAUUCUAGUAUUCCUGGAUUAAGUACAGGUUAAGUAACCUUGAUUUGGUUACAGUAGGAAAAUUUUGCUUUCAUUUUAGUCGUGUACUUGGUAGCGUAGUUGAUUGUGUCAAUGUCGUGUGCGUACUAAAAAAAAGUAGGCACCGUCCUUUAACGCCCUUUCUGUUUCUCCUCACAGCAAGUGCAGUUCAACACCACCUUUUACGCGUCACCAGUUGUACUUGUGUCUGUUCAUCAUGAUUACGAUCGUAAAGUGAAGAACCACAUUCCACCAGAAUACAACAUAAUAACAACCUGGGUCGAGGAAGUUGGUCUGACAGCCAUGAGGAUUUGCGUCAAAGGCUUGAGUGGAUCAGGAAGUAAACACGACCCUCUGUCUGUCAGCUAUGUUGUAAUUGGAGACCUGAACCCAUGCCUUGACGUCCAUUGUCCAU